GUCCACGCCGUAAACGAUGAGUGCUAGGUGUCGCGGGUAUUGACCCCUGCGGUGCCGCAGUUAACGCAUUAAGCACUCCGCCUGGGGAGUACGGUCGCAAGACUAAAACUCAAAGGAAUUGACGGGGGCCCGCACAAGCGGUGGAGCAUGUGGUUCAAUUCGACGCAACGCGCAGAACCUUACCUGGGUUAAAUGCCCUCGAAGUCCGCAGAAACGUGGAUUUGCCCGCAAGGGAGCGAGGAGCAAGGUGCUGCAUGGCUGUCGU
rnacentral:rRNA from 1 species